AGCAGCCGCGGUAAUUCCAGCUCCAAUAGCGUAUAUUAAAGUUGCUGCAGUUAAAAGCUCGUAGUUGAAUUUCGGGACUAAUAUGUCGGUCGUGCCUCGGUACGUACUGGCUUAUUGGUUUCUCCUUUCUGAAGAACCAUGAUGUCAUUUAUUUGGUGUCGUGGGGAAUCAGGACUGUUACUUUGAAAAAAUUAGAGUGUUUAAAGCAGGCUCACGCUUGAAUACAUUAGCAUGGAAUAAUGAAAUAGGACGUUUGAUUCUAUUUUGUUGGUUUCUAGGAUCGACGUAAUGAUUAAUAGGGAUAGUUGGGGGCAUUAGUAUUCAAUUGUCAGAGGUGAAAUUCUUGGAUUUAUUGAAGACUAACUACUGCGAAAGCAUUUGCCAAGGAUGUUUUCAUUAAUCAAGAACGAAAGUUAGGGAUCGAAGACGAUCAGAUACCGUCGUAGUCUUAACCAUAAACUAUGCCGACUAGGGAUCGGGAUGAUGUUAAUUUUUAAUGUACUCAUUCGGCGCCUUACGG
rnacentral:misc_RNA from 1 species